rnacentral:rRNA from 1 species
AUUGAACGCUGGCGGCAGGCCUAACACAUGCAAGUCGAACGAGUGGCGGAAGGGUGAGUACUGUCUGGGACACUGCCUGAUGGAGGGGGAUAACUACUGGAAACGGUAGCUAAUACCGCAUACCAUCAGAUGUGCCCAGAUGGGAUUAGCUAGUUGUGGGGGUAAAGGCUCACCACGGCGACGAUCCCUAUCUGGUCUGAGAGGAUGACCAGCCACACCGGAACUGAGACACGGUCCAUACUCCUACGGGAGGCAGCAGUGGGGAAUAGUGCACAAUGUGCGCAAUCCUGAUGCAGCCAUGCCGGGUGUAUGAAGAAGGCCUUCGGGUUGUAAAGUACUUUCAGCGGGGAGGCGUUACCCGCAGAAGAAGCACCGGCUAACUCCGUGCCAGCAGCCGCGGUAAUUC